GGUAACAUUUUAAUAAGCUGCACACUGGAUCGUCCAUGUCUCAAAUUUUUGAGAUUACUUUGUUAUUCAUCCAUGUUUUGUAUGAAUCUGAUCCCAAUCCUAAAUGAUAUCCUAGAAGGAAGCAUGAAUCAUUUGAGUGGUAUGGUAAACACUUGACAACCAUGGCUAGGGAAGGGAAGGGAAAUUGGCUCUGUCAUAGGACAAGAUGAUGAGAUACGGAGAUGCAUCUAGAUUUUCUCAAGUAGAACUAAGAGCAACAUUAUCCUCAUUUGUGAACCAGGUGUUGGAAAGCCUGCAAUUCCCGACGGUGGCGGGAACUAUGGUAGUAAGCUCAAGUAAGAAAUAUAAGUCAAGAAAAAGAUGUCAAUAGAUGUAUUGCGUAUUUGCGUGGGUUAGGCUGCAAUCUAGGAACUUGAGCGCUCGUGGCAUUGGAUUGUUUUACAAUGAACUAAUGAAAGGUGUGCCUGGAAUAUUUGGACACUUUCUGACUACUCUGCCAGCUGUUCAUUCAAUGAUCAUUUCUUUGUGCAUAAAGUACACCCAUGUUCCCAUUGUGUCUCAGAUCAAGAGGAUUUUGUUCAGGCGAGUCUGCUUAAAAAGUUACCACAUAUUUCAUUUCAUUAUCAGGCUGCAUAUGGUAGAGUACGGGUCACAUGGUUCAGGCUGCAUAUCAGUGGCGGAUCCAGGAUUUUUUUUAUGGUGUGCGGAAAUUUAUAUAGGUCGUUUGUCUUGAUAUAUAAUAAUUUUUCGGUCCGGUUCGAAUCGGAUUGGGUGAUAAAAUCAAUAAAAGUACGGCAAACGUUAAGUUGAUCACAUCUAUUAUCUAUUUCUAUUAUCUAUAAUAAAUGAAUAUAUUUGGGCUGAGUUGGCAUGAUAAUAGAGCCUCUUAGAAUGCUUUUUGGCGGGAAAAUGGGACGGUGCUCGCGGAUCAUUUGUUAAUUCUCUUAGAUCCGAACGUUUUCUAUUUACAAUUUAUAGAAAUGCCUGUGAUUUCUUGAACUCUGGCUACCGUAAAAAAGACUUCAAGGAUUGCAGUGAUCGCCGCCCACAGAAUCGUUCGAGUUAUCGAUUACGAUGUUGAUGAAUUUUAGGCCACCUGCGACCCAGGUUUGAUGCAACAUAAAAUACGAGCCUGUUAGGUCUUUGAGUUGGCAGGUGUGGGGGCAGGUCUACUUGGACAACUGGUGUAUGAAGAAGUAAUAGAAUUAAAACAAAACCCUUGGAAUAUUGGAAGGAUGAAAGGCCCUUGCAUGCAUGAGUUCAUAACACGUGUUUUAUCCUCAAAAUAAAUGCUUUUACUUUCGACAUUUUACAUGAUCCAUCGUGAUUUAAACUUUGACUUUAGCAAAUUUGAUCCGUUUACUUUUAC
rnacentral:lncRNA from 1 species